GAGUGACUUGUUAUAGGGCCUCCCACUCCUCAUUAACUGAAAUUUGCUACGGCGCGGGGGAAUCAGUUUAGUGUCGAAAAUUGGAGCGAUUAGACGUGUACGGUGUCACUCUGUGACAGAUUAUUGCUUGAUCGCGAGAUAACUUUCGAGGUAUUAGAAGGACGCUACGAAAUUCAAAAAGAUGCCGCGAAAUUCAAAAGGACACCCCCGUGGUCGAUGAUAAAUUCGAGAACUUUUCAUGGAAAUUUGGUUACUUACUGUCUUCGCUUCUUCCAUCGAAAUCGGUGAUUCCAAUUUGAUGGCAGCUUGGUAAUUACUUUCCUUGAGUUACGACAAUAUUGACGACAACGUUCUUCGCAUCUAAUCGUGAGUCGCAUGCAUUUUUGUUCCUCUGGUCACUCAAUCAUGUCGUAGGAUGAAAGGUCCGAAUCGACACGAGUUGACUAGUUGUAUCACGUAGAAUCUUUGACGAGCAUAGUGACCGCGGGUAUUUAUUAUACUCGUGAGUAGUAACAUUUUCUUGUCUGUGUUUUAUUUAUUAGUUCAGGAUAGGUUUUCUUGCACAUCGCGUUUUUAAAUGUUGAUGAUAAUGUAUUAACAUAUGUUGACAAUUAGCAUACUUAUAUACGAUUAAAAAUUGCAGAAUAUAUUCACUAAAAUUAUUUACAAAAUCAAAUUAUAUUCAAUGUGACUAUUUAUGAUGAUCAAAUGUUCGUACAAGAAUGCGUAUGAAUAUUGAAAUAAACAAGGAAAUGACUUCGUUUAAAUAUUUUGUAGUGGAGAAGUUUGGUACCCUCAGACUUUGUUAAUAUGGAAAUUCAACUAUGAUUAAAGUUAUUAUAAUGCUGAUAAAGAUUAUAAAUCAUAUUUAUUUUAAUCUUUUACUUUAUAAUGAUAUGGAGCAGUUUUAUUAUUUGAGCAUACACAGUAUAAUUCCAGUAAAAUUUGGAAUAUGGAAUAUGAAAGUAUAUGUUAAAGCCUAACUUUGUCCGCCCGUUAAGAUACAUAUUAUAAAAUUUCACGUGCAAGAAGACACUUCGCGACAGGCAGAUUUCAGAAUCAAAACAAGUUUUGAACGUUCCUUUGUGCUCCAAAGAUGUGUUUUGAUAAAGAUAUCGCCUGAGGAUAUUUCGAUUAAUAGAGUUCAUCUAGAGUCCAUUGUUAUUCAUUGGUAUAAAUAUUACUUUCAUUGAAUCUUAAUUUAUGUUUGAUAAAUAUGUAUAUUCUUCGUUAAUUUCCUUCAUUUCAGUUUAACAAUUUAAUGGUUCAUUGAAAUAACCAAGUAAAAUAAAGUAUAGAAUUAUUUAAAAAUUUGAAACGAAAUUAGACUGCAAAAUCAAAUUAGCCCGUUCGAUACAAAAUAUAAUAGAUAGACUAAUCAUAUUUUUAGCAUAGGAUUUUCAGGUUUAACUCCUUCCAUGUUCAUUGCCAGAGUCUCACUCACGUGCCCAGGUGCUUCUUGGGUGGGAAGAAGGCAAUGGGCAUGAUGAUUAGUCUAUAAGCCUAACAAUGUUUCCAGCGACUGACAUUGCGUUAGCGUAUCGUGCACGACGUAUUUUCCACUGUGUGUGCAUGUGGUUAGGCUGUGGAAUUGCGUCGUUUUUGCUUUUUAUUAUAAUCUUGAAAUACUUAUGGAGUUCAGAAAUAUGAAUCCAAUUACCAUUGGAAAUAUUCACUGUUGAUAAAUAUGUAUAGUGAAUUAUAAAUAGUAAUAUUACUAAUCUCAGUAUAAACUACAAAAAAAAUUAAUAAUUGAUUAGAGUUGGACGAUUUCUUCUAGUAUUUUCAAAAUUAUUUCUUUAGAUGAUAUACAUAUACAUCAUUAUAUACGAUUAUGAUUAUUUAAUUAAAAUUGAGAUUUAAAUAUAUUUGGAUAAUUAAAGUUGAAAUAUAGAGAAUAUUUGUACGCAAUGGUCGCUAGCCAUCGUCGGUCGAUUUCAGGAAAAUGGUACGUACCUUAGGGUGUGAAAGUUGUAUGGCAAACUCGGGUGUCGGAGGCGUCCCGGGACGUCUCUCUAGUGUAGGCUCUUGCGCCCGGGUUAUGUGUGAGAACCGUGGAGUGAGUGUGUUGGUGUGUUGUCUGUUUUGCUAUUUUUUAAAUAUAGGGCUAGGUAGGAUAGGUAGUAUACUUUCUGGGAUGAGUGUUAAUUAUAAGUAGGUAGGGCCGGGCAGGUUGGCACAGUCUCUGGUCGGGUAGGCGCGAUUUCGCGUGUCCAACCUGUUUCAGGAAAUUUGAUUUGAAAAAUCGACGGCGAAGCUGGGAACAAGAGUUGGAGCAUGCCACUCAGCUUAGGCUUCGGCUAUCGGUUUUUCGAAUUUCGCGAGUAGGAAGUAGAUUUCGAAACGAACGUUUAUAUAUCGUUCGAGCACGCACAUACGAACAGAUAGCGAUCACUAUGAUCGUUGGUCAUCCAUGUUCACUUGAAUUAACUUGCGCGAUUUGAAUUUUUGGUUUACAUUUGCCGGUUAUUUUUUUGUUUUCCGAUUAAAAAGACCCGAGCUAGAUUUAAGUUUCAGCGGGCAUUGCGCCCGAAGAAAGAAAAGGCUAUGAGCCGAAGAGGCCCGGCAAAUUUGUCAUAGAAGAGGGCAACUAUUAAUGGCUUUCCAUCCUCUGAAUUUCGGAUAAUCCAAAGCAUGGAAAGUCAUUCUCGUUACUAUUUUGUCACUAUGCUCGCUUGUAGUAUUUGUAGUAGUAGUAGUAGUAGUAGUAGUAUUUCUUUUUUUUUUUCUUUGGUCGGUGUACAUGUCGGCUCACCACCAUAUUGGGCAAAUCACGGUUUUUGUAUUAGUAUUGCAAAAGAUUAAUUAUGAUUUGAAUUAGUGUUGCGAGAGAUUGAUUACGGUUAAAAUCAGAGUUGCGAAUUAUAACAUCGCGAUUGUUUUUAGCAAUUUUGAUUAUGAAUUGUCAGAAUUUUUUAGAGAAUGAUACAUUGAUACAUACUAGCUUUCACAUGGCUGCCCUGUUUGAGCACUGUAAUACGUUUGCGAAGAUAAAAUUUGCUAAAUUAACUAAUAAUUUAAUAAUCUAAUCUGUUUAAUCUAAUAA